rnacentral:rRNA from 1 species
UAGGGAAUCUUCGGCAAUGGGGGGAACCCUGACCGAGCAACGCCGCGUGAGUGAAGAAGGUUUUCGGAUCGUAAAGCUCUGUUGUUAAGGAAGAACGAGUGUGAGAAUGGAAAGUUCAUACUGUGACGGUACUUAACCAGAAAGGGACGGCUAACUACGUGCCAGCAGCCGCGGUAAUACGUAGGUCCCGAGCGUUGUCCGGAUUUAUUGGGCGUAAAGCGAGCGCAGGCGGUUAGAAAAGUCUGAAGUGAAAGGCAGUGGCUCAACCAUUGUAGGCUUUGGAAACUGUUUAACUUGAGUGCAGAAGGGGAGAGUGGAAUUCCAUGUGUAGCGGUGAAAUGCGUAGAUAUAUGGAGGAACACCGGUGGCGAAAGCGGCUCUCUGGUCUGUAACUGACGCUGAGGCUCGAAAGCGUGGGGAGCGAACAGGAUUAGAUACCCUGGUAGUUCACGCCGUAAACGAUGAGUGCUAGGUGUUAGGUCCUUUCCGGGACUUAGUGCCGCAGCUAACGCAUUAAGCACUCCGCCUGGGGAGUACGACCGCAAGGUUGA